CCCCGGUUUAUUACUGUGGGUUUGGAUUAUAAUAACCCAAACCCACAUUUGGGGCCCGUAUAAUGGAAACCCUAGGUUUAGGAAUCUUACUGUUUGGUAUGUUUCUAAUCUCCUUCCAUAUUGUCCAUCCAUAUUAUUUAAACUAUACGUCUAUGAACCCUAAUUUCUAUUAUAUUGUUUAAAUUUUCCCCAUCCCUGUUUCAACAUACAUCCGUGUUUGCCAUGUUUCUAAUCUCCUUCCAUAUUGCCCAUCCAUAUUGUUUAAAUUAUGCUUCUGUGAACCCUAAUUUCGGUUAUAUUGUUUAAAUUUUCCCAUCCCUGUUUCAAUAUACGUCCUUGUUUGUCAUGUUUCUAAUCUCCUUCCAUUUUGCCCAUUCAUAUUGUUUAAAUUAUACUUCUGUGAACCCUAAUUUCCUGUUAUAUUGUUUAAAUUUUCCUCAUCCCUGUUAACUCAUAUGUCCCUGUUUGUCAUGUUUCUAAUUUGUUUUGUUGGUUUCACUUUGUUGUUGCUACUGUGUCUAAUCUGAACACAUUUUGUACCAUUUUUUUAAUAUUAUCCCUCAUAAAUAUGUUGACAUAUUUAUUUAUUUGACACUUUGACUAUGUUCACACUUCCCACUUACUUGCAAUCAAUAUGACUUUUGAAUUUGCUUUGCUGAGAAGUCUUUUCUCUUUACUUGCAAGCAAUUGUUCUGUUUCUUUCUCUUUAUUUCUAAGCAAAUCUCAUCCAUCCAUCCAUUAAUAUGCACUGUCUGUGUUCAUUUUAUUUUUUGGUUAUCUAUUUGUCUACUCAUAGCUUAUUUUUAUCUUAGUUGUAGGUUUUGACCAUUUUCUUCCCUUUUCUGUACACUUCUGUAAUUUGCAGAGAUUUUUUUUUUUUUUUUUGUAUGAGUGAAUAAAGGCAUACUUUAUUCACCCUCUAACCCUCUAUAUAUACCACUUCUUUUGUUGUAUUUUAUUGUGUUGUUUUCCUUGCUUUCUCCUAUGUGCUUUCUUUAUUUGGUAUGUAACUUAACUUUGUUUUCUUCAUUUGAACUUCUAUUUCGCCUUCUUUUUUCUUUUGUCAUAUCUAUGUUAAGUAGAUUAUGUUAUGUUUAAAGCAUAUUUGUGGGCUAUUACUUUCUUCUUUUUGUGAAGAGUAUACCUUCUUAUACACAAACUUAGGCACGGCCAUAACAUACUUUUCAUGAUUUUCUUGAUCUCUUCUCAUGUCCACUGUCCAUAUUCAGUUCAAGUAAUGUUGAUGUUUUGUGACUCUUUCAUAUAUGUUUUAUGUGUCGAUGUUUUAUGCUUAUUUGGUUGCAUUUGUAUAGCUAUAUAUGUUUUGCUGCGCAUCCUAUUGUUGCUUCUUUUUGUAUUCUUGUUUGUAAUAAUUGAUCAAGUUCGUUACACCGAACGAAUUCAAUUUCUCUGAAGCACAACGUUUCUUUAAAUAACACGGCCUAAAUUGCUCAUUCAUUUUAAUCAAUCUUCUUUUUUCAAUUUCACCUUGGCAUUCCUCCAAACAAUACGGAUAUCCAACUUCCUACUUCGUUCGUCAGAGGUACGAGGCAUUGGCGCUGUAUAUUGUACUACUUUAUUUUCAAAUAUUGUCAGUUAAUACUUUUGCAUUCUUCCAUAUUGUACUUCAGAAUUUAGUGACCAUAUUCGGUAAUAAAGAAUUCUCUUUUUUUUUUCA